rnacentral:rRNA from 1 species
UACGUAGGGGGCAAGCGUUGUCCGGAUUUAUUGGGCGUAAAGAGCGUGUAGGCGGCCGUACAGGUCAGCUGUGAAAACUCGAGGCUCAACCUCGAGACGUCGGUUGAAACCGUACGGCUAGAGUCCGGAAGAGGAGAGUGGAAUUCCCGGUGUAGCGGUGAAAUGCGCAGAUAUCGGGAAGAACACCGGUGGCGAAGGCGGUUCUCUGGGCCUGUACUGACGCUGAGGAGCGAAAGCGUGGGGAGCGAACAGG